ensembl:processed_transcript Gm20036 predicted gene, 20036
GCCGGAUCCGCGGCUUCCGCGUUACCUGCGGAUCUUUAGGUGGAGACCGAAAAGGCAGUGGCGGCGGCGGUGGCCCUUCCAACCUGAGCAACUGCUUUUGUUUGUAUAAAUUCUCUAAAGCUCCCUGUCUGCUGGAACACGGUCCAAGAAUGGAAUCCUGUGAGAAUUCUGGGUGCUUAGGAGAAAACUCUAAGACAAGAACAUGGCUGCUCUGACAAGGGGUCACAUCCAAAGAUUUUAUAAGCCCACAGAAACUGGCCAGAAUACAAAAAAAAAAAAAAAAAAAAAAAAAAAAACCCUGGAAUACAGUGAUCUGGCUGGAAUACAGACACACCCUUAGUACACACCUCUAAUCCCUAACAUGAAGAUACGGCAAGUUUGUAGAAGGAAGCAGCCUUGUUUGAAAGUGAUGUCUAAUUAAGGGACAAUGUGGCAAAUCAGAGAAAGAUUUAACAGAAUGAGUCAGAGAUGGUAUACAUCUAACUCACAUGAGAACAGCACAAGAAAGAGGCUACAAGGCAGGGGGGGGAGAGACAGAGACAGAGAGACUGAGACAGGGAGACAGAGAGAUGUGUGGCGAUUUUAUCAGGAUGGUUUUACAGAAACAGGUUAGACACAAGUGAUGACAGAAGGAGCCAGAGAAUGAGAAGGAGCCAAAAGAUUAGAACAUGUUGCCAAAGUUAAGUGUGAAGCCAAGCAGAGCAAUUCAGUCAGAAACCAAGAGAAAACUCAGUCAGUCAGCUUGGAAGAUUAGAUUGUACGCAGAGGCUUGAAGCUUCCAGGCCUAGGAAUAGUUAACGCAGACAAGCACUCUGGGCUCAGCCCAGGCCCU